rnacentral:miRNA from 1 species
CGUCCGCCUCGGCCUCCCAAAGUGCUGGGAUUACAGGCGUGAGCCACUGCACCCGGCCUGACCUGUGUAGAGUUUUGAAUCCCAGUAAGUCUGUUUCC